GGGCCAUAGCUCAGUGGUACAGCAUUUGUCUUUCGUACAGAAGGUCACAGGUUCAAUCCCUACCAUUUCCA